CUUAUUUCAAUUGUGUUAUACACAUCAAACGAUUUGGAGAGUGUGUGGUUAGUGUUCACUAUAUAGUUUACAAUAAACUUGGUGAACCAUUUGGAUAGGGACACAAAGGUGAAGUCCUUGCCUAGUUUCCGUUUCUUGAAGUGGUUUAACACUUCAACACUCAAUGAUUCAAAAUCAUGAUAAGUCCAUGUUGAUGGACUAUUUUUGUCAACCAACCAUUAUGUUCUAAACAUAAUUACAAACUUUCAAGAGUUGUUCAAGGCAACUCUCAUAUCUUCAUACAACAAUUUGUAAGUGAAGAAUCAUGGUACAUAACAUGUCCAUGCCCUUGUGCUUUCUUCUCAAGUUCUUUGUUCAUUUAACAAAGAAACAAGCACUAGUGUUUGCAUUA
rnacentral:lncRNA from 1 species